rnacentral:tRNA from 1 species
AAGGAUUUAGUUUAAUUAAAACUUUAAUUUGUCAGGUUAAAAAUAUUUUGUAAGUAUUCCUUU